CCGUGUACGUACAAGCAGUGGGAGCCCCACCACCAAAGCGUUUCGCUUUGUGUGGUGCACAAAGAAGCGUAACGACAGCACUGAAUGACGGUUAACGGAGCGCAAGCGACGUUCAACAUACAAAGUCAAGCAGUGGAGCGCUUUGGGGUGGGGUGACUGCGUACCUUUUGUAUAAUGGGUCAGCGACUUAUAUUCUGUAGCAAGGUUAACCGAAUAGGGGAGCCGGAGGGAAACCGAGUCUUAACCGGGCGUUAAGUUGCAGGGUAUAGACCCGAAACCCGGUGAUCUAGCCAUGGGCAGGUUGAAGGUUGGGUAACACUAACUGGAGGACCGAACCGACUAAUGUUGAAAAAUUAGCGGAUGACCUGUGGCUGGGGGUGAAAGGCCAAUCAAACCGGGAGAUAGCUGGUUCUCCCCGAAAGCUAUUUAGGUAGCGCCUCGUGAAUUCAUCUCCGGGGGUAGAGCACUGUUUCGGCUAGGGGGCCAUCCCGGCUUACCAACCCGAUGCAAACUGCGAAUACCGGAGAAUGUUAUCACGGGAGACACACGGCGGGUGCUAACGUCCGUCGUGAAGAGGGAAACAACCCAGACCGCCAGCUAAGGUCCCAAAGUCAUGGUUAAGUGGGAAACGAUGUGGGAAGGCCCAGACAGCCAGGAUGUUGGCUUAGAAGCAGCCAUCAUUUAAAGAAAGCGUAAUAGCUCACUGGUCGAGUCGGCCUGCGCGGAAGAUGUAACGGGGCUAAACCAUGCACCGAAGCUGCGGCAGCGACGCUUAUGCGUUGUUGGGUAGGGGAGCGUUCUGUAAGCCUGUGAAGGUGGCCUGUGAGGGUUGCUGGAGGUAUCAGAAGUGCGAAUGCUGACAUAAGUAACGAUAAAGCGGGUGAAAAGCCCGCUCGCCGGAAGACCAAGGGUUCCUGUCCAACGUUAAUCGGGGCAGGGUGAGUCGACCCCUAAGGCGAGGCCGAAAGGCGUAGUCGAUGGGAAACGGGUUAAUAUUCCCGUACUUGGUGUUACUGCGAAGGGGGGACGGAGAAGGCUAUGUUGGCCGGGCGACGGUUGUCCCGGUUUAAGCGUGUAGGUGUGUGUUCCAGGUAAAUCCGGUUCACUUUAACACUGAGGCGUGACGACGAGGCACUACGGUGCUGAAGCAACAAAUGCCCUGCUUCCAGGAAAAGCCUCUAAGCAUCAGGUAACAUCAAAUCGUACCCCAAACCGACACAGGUGGUCAGGUAGAGAAUACCAAGGCGCUUGAGAGAACUCGGGUGAAGGAACUAGGCAAAAUGGUGCCGUAACUUCGGGAGAAGGCACGCUGACAUGUAGGUGAAGUGAUUUACUCAUGGAGCUGAAGUCAGUCGAAGAUACCAGCUGGCUGCAACUGUUUAUUAAAAACACAGCACUGUGCAAACACGAAAGUGGACGUAUACGGUGUGACGCCUGCCCGGUGCCGGAAGGUUAAUUGAUGGGGUCAGCGCAAGCGAAGCUCCUGAUCGAAGCCCCGGUAAACGGCGGCCGUAACUAUAACGGUCCUAAGGUAGCGAAAUUCCUUGUCGGGUAAGUUCCGACCUGCACGAAUGGCGUAAUGAUGGCCAGGCUGUCUCCACCCGAGACUCAGUGAAAUUGAACUCGCUGUGAAGAUGCAGUGUACCCGCGGCAAGACGGAAAGACCCCGUGAACCUUUACUAUAGCUUGACACUGAACAUUGAGCCUUGAUGUGUAG
rnacentral:rRNA from 1 species